rnacentral:rRNA from 1 species
UAACUGAAGAGUUUGAUCAUGGCUCAGAUUGAACGCUGGCGGCAGGCUUAACACAUGCAAGUCGAGCGGGGGAAGGUAGCUUGCUACUGGACCUAGCGGCGGACGGGUGAGUAAUGCUUAGGAAUCUGCCUAUUAGUGGGGGACAACAUCUCGAAAGGGAUGCUAAUACCGCAUACGUCCUACGGGAGAAAGCAGGGGAUCUUCGGACCUUG